GCGCUAUUGUGAAAAUUGUUUUAAGCGUGCAUUUCAUUUUUUGUUUUUCUAAAAACCGAAGUGAAAAAAAAUACGACGUCAAUACAGCAGUGCGAAAACCUCAGUGUCCGUGCUCUUUUGGAAUCCAUUGGUGAAUGCAGUUAUUUUACAUUGACGCAGCGCUAGAAUGAGAAGCAACAACAUUCAACCAGUUCCCGGGCAGCUGCCGGCAAAGUUUUUAUUCCUCAAUGUAAGCGAAAAAGGACCAGACCCAAGCCAGAACCAAGGAAAUGAGCCGAAUUCAACGAAUCCGAUGUUUUUGGGAGCUUAUCCAUCGUUUGGGACCUACAACAUCACAUUGCGCAGUGCUCCGAGGUGUUAUCAAUAUAAAGGUGACAAUUAGUGCAAAUCAAGCGUGUGAUAGAAUAAGGGCGUAAAUAACAUGAUCGGUUUCUCUUUA